rnacentral:rRNA from 1 species
GACGAACGCUGGCGGCGUGCUUAACACAUGCAAGUCGAACGGACAGGCCCUGCUUUUGGGGGGUGCUCGAGUUGCGAAGGGGUGAUAAACCCGUGAGUACCCUGCCCUUGACUUUGGGAUAACUUCAGGCAACUGGGGCUCAUACCGGGUAGGAGCUCCUGCUGCAUGAUUGGGGUUGGUAAGUUUCGGUGGUUGGGGAAGGACUCGCGUCCUAUCAGAUUGUUUGUGGGGUAGUGGCAUAGCAUGACUUGGCCAGGUAGCCGGGCUGGGCGGAUGAGCGGACACAUCGGGCUUGGACUGCGGCACGGCCUCCUACGGGAGGCAGCAGUGGGGAAGAGUGCACAAGGGGAGGAAGCCUAAUGCAGCCACGCCGCGUGGGGGAUGACGUCCAUCGGGUUGGAAACCGAUUUCCCCUGUGACGAAGAGUGAGUGACGGUAAUGGGUAAAGAAGCACCGGCUAACUACGUG